CACGCCCCUUCGGUGAUGUGGUGACGACAAUCGUGGAGAUCCGAGACGAA
rnacentral:ribozyme from 1 species